GGGGAUUUAGCUCAGCGGUAGAGCGCUUGCCUAGCAAGCACAAGGCCCUGGGUUCCGUCCCCAGCUCCG
rnacentral:tRNA from 1 species